CGAUGUGAGGGUAAUCUGCCUGUGACAUCUCUCACGCCAUUGAUUGCCAGAAUUGAUUCAGCUGAUCUGGCUGGCUAGGCAGGUGUCCCCUUCCUCCCUCACCGCUCCAUGUGUGUCCCUCCAGAAGCUACAGCUGCGAGCUCAGUGGAAGAGGAUGACCUUCCCCUAUAAUAGAGGAGGGCCAUUCUUUGGUUAAGGGGACACAAGUAUCUGCCCUCUCCUGCUAGGACCUCCAAGCAAGCUCUCAAGUAUAAUCUUUUUUUUUUAAUGUUUGUUUGUUUAUUUAUUUAUUUUUGAGAGAGAGGGAGUGAGCACAAGU
rnacentral:snRNA from 1 species